UCCUGACCGUGCGAAGGUAGCAUAAUCACUUGCCUAUUAAUUGCAGGCUAGAAUGAAAGGAUAAACGAGAAUAUACCUGUCUCCUUUAAGCCCAUAAAAAUUUAUCUUUAAGUGAAGAAGCUUAAAUAAAUAUGCAGGACAAGAAGACCCUAUAGAGCUUUACCUAUAAACUACAUAUAUGGUAGUCAGCGGUUCGGUUGGGGCGACCGGGGGAUAUCAAUCACCCCCAAAUAAUACGAUAUACAUAUCCUAUCAAAGAUCCUAAUACUAGAUCAAAGAAUCAAGCUACCUUAGGGAUAACAGGCUAAUCCUCUUAGAGAGCCCUUAUCGACAAGAGGGGUUGGCACCUCGAUGUUGGCUUAGGACUUCUCC
rnacentral:rRNA from 1 species